GACGAACGCUGGCGGCGUGCUUAACACAUGCAAGUCGAACGGAAAGGCCCUGCUUUUGUGGGGUGCUCGAGUGGCGAACGGGUGAGUAACACGUGAGUAACCUGCAAUUGACUUUGGGAUAACUUCAGGAAACUGGGGCUAAUACCGGAUAGGAGCUACUGCUGCAUGGUGGGGGUUGGAAAGUUUCGGCGGUUGGGGAUGGACUAGCGGCUUAUCAGCUUGUUGGUGGGGUAGUGGCUUACCAAGGCUUUGACGGGUAGCCGGCCUGCGAGGGUGACCGGCCACAUUGGGACUGAGAUGCGGCCCAGACUCCUACGGGAGGCAGCAGUGGAGAAUAGUGCAUAAUGGGCGGAAGCCUGAUGCGGCAACGCCGCGUGCGGGAUGACGGCCUGCGGUUUGUAAACCGCUUUCGCCUGUGACGAAGCGUGAGUGACGGUAAUGGGUAAAGAAGCACCGGCUAACUACGUG
rnacentral:rRNA from 1 species